rnacentral:rRNA from 1 species
UGCGGCUUAAUUCGACGCAACGCGAAGAACCUUUACCAAGGCUUGACAUAUACAGGAAUAUGGCAGAGAUGUCAUAGCCGCAAGGUCUGUAUACAGGUGGUGCAUGGUUGUCGUCAGCUCGUGUCGUGAGAUGUUGGGUUAAGUCCCGCAACGAGCGCAACCCUCGUUCUGUGUUGCCAGCAUUUAGUUGGGGACUCACAGGAGACUGCCGGGGUUAACUCGGAGGAAGGUGGGGAUGACGUCAAAUCAUCAUGCCCCUUAUGUCUUGGGCUGCACGCAUGCUACAAUGGCUGGUACAAACGGCUGCAAUACCGCAAGGUGGAGCGAAUCCGAGAAAGCCAGUCUCAGAUCGGAUUGGGGUCUGCAACUCGACCCCAUGAAGUCGGAGUUGCUAGUAAUCGUAGAUCAGCAACGCUACGGUGAAUACGUUCCCGGGGCUUGUACACACCGCCCGUCACGUCACGAAAUCGGUACACCCGAAGUCAGU